CCUCCCCACGACAUUUUACCGCUGACUUAAUCGCCCACCUAGUCGACGAUGGAUAGGGGUUCUGAGAGGAAGGUCCCCCACAUUGGAACUGAGACACGGUCCAAACUCCUACGGGAGGCAGCAGUGAGGAAUAUUGGUCAAUGGACGAGAGUCUGAACCAGCCAAGUAGCGUGAAGGAUGACUGCCCUAUGGGUUGUAAACUUCUUUUAUAAGGAAUAAAGUGCGCCACGUGUGGUGUUUUGUAUGUACCUUAUGAAUAAGCAGUCGGCUAAUUCCGUGCCAGCAGCCGCGGUAAUACGGAAGAUGCGAGCGUUAUCCGGUAUUUAGUUGGGGUUUAAAGGGAGCGGUAGGCGGGCGAUUAAGUCAGACGGUAAAAU
rnacentral:rRNA from 1 species